rnacentral:lncRNA from 1 species
CUUAAGCUGUAAAAGGCCCGUUAUAAAUAAUAGUUCAUUCUGAUUAAUAUCUCUAAGCACUGUAGCAUUGUGAUUGCUGACCUGUGCUCCACCAAGUUCAUUCAGUUUUCAGGGACUUGGUGACUUUUGUGAACCAAAACUGUCCAGUGUGCACAUGGUUUGAGCUUUCCGGUGGUUGCUCAUCACAUAUCGAGCUGAAUUUUGGCUAGCCUUUUCCAUGUGAUCUUGUUAAAAUCUGAUAUUUUACGACAGGUUUUCCCAGUCUGGGGCAAGCUGUCGUGGGAAGAACCCAAGAUUAGGUCUAAUAGGACAUGAGAGUCCGGAUGAAGAUAAACUAGGGGAUUUGAGAAAGCUGCGUGACCUUGGACUUGCCCCAGCUCCCACAGCAGCUGCGCGUCUGCAGCUGGGAAGAAAGCAGCAGUGAAAAGUAGUGCCAGCCGAGAGCUACCUAGUUAUCCUCAGCCUUCGAACAAACCACACUGCUCCCAAUUACCAAAGCCUCUUGCAUACAGCAGGCUGUUACUUGGGCCGGGAACUCAGCAGCCUGACCAUUACGUAGAAGAGAAACUGAACGGCGAGGGUUCCUGGAUGGAGAACGUGUGCCCUGGUGGAAACUGCAAAAGCGUUUCUGCAGUAGGUCUCUGUCUUGUCCUGUUUUGGAAACGAGAAAGCUUAGCGAUCCUUUGCAGCGCUGGAUUCCGGAAGACUGUGGGCUUCAUUAAUUAAAAAAAGGGAGAUAUGGGACUGUUUUCUUUUGCCAUGGUAAUAACAUAACAUAACCGGGAUACUGCAUGCUCAUGGAGAUGACAGGACAAAGGCGUAAAGCCAGUUCCUAUUUCACGGCAUUCAGUCGCAUCUCAUUUUGAAGAUACCUUAAUGAUUUGUGUUAGUGACGAUUUGUCCCUCUUGUUGGCUGUCGGCUGGAAUGUGAUUUAUCAGACAAGUGAAAUUAAUGCUGUAUAUGGUUAGCGAGUGCCUGUGUACAAAAUUGGUAAUUAUGGGAAGAGGCUGCUUCUUAGGCUAUGAUUAGAAAGUCUUUCCAGUAAUACAGCAACAGGCACAAGACUAUUCAGUAAGCUUAACAUUAAUUUUUUUCCCAGUUUUUUAAAAAUCUGAUCCAAACCAGUAUGAAUUUCCCCUUGCUAAUUUUAAAGUGGCCUGCUUGCAUGAGAUAACAAAUCCCAGUUGCAGUUUAAGGAAAAAAAUAUUUUAACAGAAGGCAGGCUAGAUUGUUAUCAAAAUGUUAAUGAUCAGUUCUCCUGCAGUCUCAAUUACUUUCAGAGGGGGGGCGAGAAUAGACACAUCUUCUGAAUAAUAUUGAUUUAAAUAUGUAUUACUAGCUCAUUAAGCUGUUAGAGUCUUUCCCUUUCUGGACAAAGGUUUAUUAAUUGCUGCAGUUGGUUUAUCAUUAAAGUGGGCUUAGGUGCA